UCUGUUUUCAGUGCAUUAUUUAUUUUUUAUAUUUAAAAACAGUAAAGAAGCUUUACCAUGUCAGGUUUCUUUUUAAGUAACAAACCAAAACGAAAAAAGAAGAAUGUUGAUUCGAAAAUAUUUUCAAAGAAAAAAGUGUCUGAUUCUAGAACAUUGAGGAAUGGAAGUCAAUUUGACAUCAACACAGAUUCUGAAUCAGAAAGUGACAAAGAAGAUAUAAACAGCAACAUAAACAGUUCAGAUGAAGAGACAGCUCAGGAAAAACGACUUCGACUUGCCAAGGAAUAUUUAGUUCAAUUGGAGAAUGAAGAAAGGGAGAACAGGCAAGAUAUCUCUGACGGUGAAGAUGCAGUUGGAGAACGCCUGCAAAAGGAUGUGUUGGAGAAGCAAGGAAAUUUUCAAAGAAAGAUUGCAGAAAAAUGUAUUUGCCCUGAUGAAGACGCUAUCAAAAUAUUUUCUGGCCACAAGCUAUCUCUGACAUGCCUAUGUAUAUCACCUGAUGACAAAAUGAUAUUUUCCGGAUCCAAGGAUUGUUCAAUUAUUAAAUGGGAUAUCCAAACUGGUACAAAAGAGGGAAAGAUACCCAGUGGUCAUUCACAAGCUGAGAGUUCAGACAAUCAUGGGCACGUGGGGCAUAUCUUUGCAAUCGCUAUUUCAUCCGAUGGACAGUAUUUGGCCAGUGGUGGUCAGGACAAGCUCAUCCGUAUAUGGAAUCCAUGCAAUUUGAAACAUAUUCACACAUUUAAAGGACACAGAGAUGCAGUGACUGGACUUGCUUUUCGUCAAGGAUAUAAUCAACUUUUCAGUGCGUCUAAAGAUCGUACGAUUAAAAUUUGGAGCUUGGAUGAAAUGGCGUUUGUCGACACACUGUUUGGCCACGAAGAUGGUAUUACUGCGAUCGACAGCAUGAAAUACGAGCAGGCAGUGAGCUCGGGAGGUCGUGAUACAAGUGUUCGUUUAUGGAAGGUCGUUACAGAAUCCCAGCUAGUCUUUAACGGUUCAUGUGGUUCAAUCGAUUGUUUGCGCAUGAUUAACGAGAAGAGUUUUGUCUCGGGUUCAGAUGAUGGAUCCUUGUCCUUAUGGGCAAUUACGAAGAAGAAACCGUUAUGCACAGUGUCUAAAGCUCAUCAACCAACUGCGGAUAAUAUCGAUGCCCCGCGGGAAUCAUGGAUCACAUCACUGGCCACAGUUAGAAAUACCGACUUAAUAGCCUCGGGUUCGUCAGAUUCCGCAAUCAGGUUUUGGCGAUGCGAAAACGGUAUUAAGUCGCUUUCUCCUUUAUUCACUCUACCAGCGGUUGGUUUUGUUAACUCUUUGGCUUUUUCAAGCGAUGGAAGCUUUUUGGUUGCUGGCAUGGGACAAGAACAUCGAUUAGGGCGUUGGUGGCGGUUAAAAAGUGCUAAGAAUUGCAUCUUUGUUGUUCCGAUUACCAGGACUAUGGAUAAAUCUUAGAGAAAAGUAUUUCACCAUUUUUGUGCUAGAUUCAUUAAGGUUAAAGUUUUUUUUUAAAAAAUCAUCAAGAUCGCAAACAAUCGACUCAAGCGGCAAGAGACCUUGAAGAAGGAGAAUAUUAUGUAUUAAGAGAGAAUUCAUACUUGACAACAUUGGAAC
rnacentral:misc_RNA from 1 species